rnacentral:rRNA from 1 species
UACGGAGGGAGCUAGCGUUGUUCGGAAUUACUGGGCGUAAAGCGCACGUAGGCGGCUUUGUAAGUUAGAGGUGAAAGCCCGGGGCUCAACUCCGGAACUGCCUUUAAGACUGCAUCGCUUGAAUCCAGGAGAGGUGAGUGGAAUUCCCGGUGUAGCGGUGAAAUGCGUAGAGAUCGGGAAGAACGCCGGCGGCGAAAGCGACUCUCUGGUCGGAUCCUGACGCUGAGGUGCGAAAGCUAGGGGAGCAAACGGG